UGAGUAAAGAAUGUGACUCGUUAAACAACAGCGCCCCUAGUGUGCACAAUGGCAGCAUGCUUGGCAAAGAGCAAACAAUUUGGACGGAAGGCUAUAGAUGAUGGCGUUCUAGAAAAGUACAAAUCUCCAGCCAGCACAGACAGCUGCUGUUCAUUAUGAAAAAACCAAUUGCACUCGCCUGCUGCUAACCUCCCAAGGAUGCCAAUAUCCAAGGGCUCUGUGCUGCUAUUGGAGGUCAGACCAGAAAUCUGAGCUUUGGAAUUCAAGAUCUGCUCUGCCACAAACUCACUUUGCAAUUCCGGGAAGUCGUUUGACUCUUUGUCGCCAUAAUUUUUGCUCUAACCUGCCCUAUUACUUUCAGAGCACUAGUGGAGGCACCUUAAGCCCAAUUAGGACCCAUUCCUUGCAUAGAGAUAAAAGGCAGCUUCCCUACAUGUGCCUUCUCUGUCCUCCCACCGGCUGAGAAUGUAGACAUCCCUGUAGCUACUUGUCUCCAUGUACAAAUCAGUUGAGAGGAGAAGUGAAGCCACAGCCCUGGAAGAUGGCAGAGGAUGCGCUUCCACUGCUAAAGUGAGUGACAUGGCUGAUCAGGAUGGUAUGGAAGCACCGGACUUGGAAGACGAGGGGAAGUGGGAGGCCCAGCAGCAGGAGGAGGAGCAGGGAGUCAUGAGAAUGAGGAGCAGGAGAAGGAACAAGAGGUUCAUCCAGAAUAGCGGGGAAAGGAUCAUGAACAGGACCUCAGGCUUCAUGAAAGGAGCAAUUCAGAAGGAAGAUACCAAUGAUAACUAUGGGGACGCUGGGGAAGAAGAAGAGAAAGGUAUUUGAAGGGAGCAGAAAGCUGGCACUAGUGAUGAUAGAGCAGGAGAAUACAGCCCGUCCCCUGGGAGAGCACAUGCCCUGCUUUGCAAGGCAGCAAUAAUUGUAGUGGCAUCUUGCUUUACCACUGAACUUGUGGUGGUGGCCACAAGCUUUGGGCAUUAUUUUAUGUUCAGACGUGACCCCUUUUCUCCUUCAUGAAUGCUAGCUAUUCCUACAGAACACAGCAUGCAAAUUUUUAUGAUAAAAGCCUAUAUUUUUAUGACUUUUGCUUUAUCAUUCCAAUUAUGAUUUACUAGUCUGUUGGUGGUCACAAUGAGUACUUUUUUCAUUACCACACUGUGGUGGGUUGAAUGAGAAAUGUCCCCUAUAAGUUCAUGUAUUCAAACACUUGGUUCCCCCAUCCUAGAAUGGUGGUGCUGUUUGGAGAGGUCAUGGAUCCUUUGGGAGGUGGAGCUUCGCUGGAGGAAAUACCGCACUGGCUGCAGGCUUUUAGAGUUUCUAGCCUCACCGCACUUCCAGUUUACAGUUUGAAAAUACAGAGCUUCCUGCUUUUGUCACUAUGCCUGCCGGGUGUUGCCAUGCCUCUGCCAUGAUGGGAGCUCUCCGGAACCAUAAGCCAGAAUAAAUCUGUGUUUUAUCACA
rnacentral:lncRNA from 1 species